rnacentral:tRNA from 1 species
AGCAGCGUGGCUCAGUGGAAAGAGCCUGGGCUUUGGAGUCAGAGGUCAUGAGUUCGAAUCCUGACUCUGCCA